UACGUAGGGGGCAAGCGUUGUCCGGAAUCAUUGGGCGUAAAGCGCGUGUAGGCGGCUCGGUAAGUCCGCUCUGAAAGUCCAGGGCUCAACCCUGGGAUGCGGGUGGAUACUGCCGGGCUCGAGUCCGGAAGAGGCGAGUGGAAUUCCCGGUGUAGCGGUGGAAUGCGUAGAGAUCCGGAAGAACACCGGUGGCGAAGGCGGUGAGCUGGGCAGUAGCUGACACUGAGGCGCGACAGCGUGGGGAGCAAACAGG
rnacentral:rRNA from 1 species